rnacentral:misc_RNA from 1 species
UUAUAGCCCUGAUUGAGCCAUUGUUGAAGCUCUUUUCUUUGUUGAUUUAGUUAAUCGAAGUCAACAAAGAAAAAGCGACUGGCGAAAGCAGGAAUAGCU